rnacentral:rRNA from 1 species
CCUACGGGUGGCAGCAGUGAGGAAUAUUGGUCAAUGGACGAGAGUCUGAACCAGCCAAGUAGCGUGAAGGAUGACUGCCCUAUGGGUUGUAAACUUCUUUUAUAUGGGAAUAACAUGUUCCACGUGUGGGAUUUUGUAUGUACCAUAUGAAUAAGGAUCGGCUAACUCCGUGCCAGCAGCCGCGGUAAUACGGAGGAUCCGAGCGUUAUCCGGAUUUAUUGGGUUUAAAGGGAGCGUAGGUGGAUUGUUAAGUCAGUUGUGAAAGUUUGCGGCUCAACCGUAAAAUUGCAGUUGAAACUGGCAGUCUUGAGUACAGUAGAGGUGGGCGGAAUUCGUGGUGUAGCGGUGAAAUGCUUAGAUAUCACGAAGAACUCCGAUUGCGAAGGCAGUUCACUGGACUGCAACUGACACUGAGGCUCGAAAGUGUGGGUAUCAAACAGGAUUAGAUACCCUUGUAGUC